rnacentral:rRNA from 1 species
CAGCAGCCGCGGGAAAACGGGGGGGCAAGCGUUGUUCGGAAUUAUUGGGCGUAAAGGGUGCGUAGGCGGUUUGGCAAGUUUGGUGUGAAAUCUUCGGGCUCAACUCGAAGUCUGCAUCGAAAACUGCCGGGCUUGAGUAUGGGAGAGGUGAGUGGAAUUUCCGGUGUAGCGGUGAAAUGCGUAGAUAUCGGAAGGAACACCUGUGGCGAAAGCGGCUCACUGGACCAUAACUGACGCUGAUGCACGAAAGCUAGGGGAGCAAACAGGAUUAGAUACCCGAGUAGUCCCUGUCUCUUAUACA